rnacentral:lncRNA from 10 species
GCAAUAUAUUGUUACUAACUAUAGUCACCAUGAUGUACAAUUGAUCUCAGGAGGAGUCAUUUCUUGUACCCUCGCUUAAGCUUCCAUUGGCUACAUUUUAGUUCUCUCAUUCAUAUUUACAGCAUAAUCAGUGAAAUAUUUACUAAGGAUGACAUUUUUACGAAGUUGAACUUUAAAAAAAAUUUCAGGAAACAGUCACAUCUUAAAUACAUGUAUUAUUGCUGGAUUAAAGACAAUGGCCUCAGAAAGCACUUACAAAUCAGCAAAAGGUGUCCAAAAGAAAAAAUUCAAGCCAAAAUAGAGACUAUAAGAUUAUAAAUAGAAGCCAGGGAAACUUUGUGAAAUAUGAAGCAUUUUUUAAAUCACAGAAAAG